rnacentral:rRNA from 2 species
AGAGUUUGAUCCUGGCUCAGAUUGAACGCUGGCGGCACGCUUAACACAUGCAAGUCGGACGAGUGAGUAGAUUUGGGAUUUAUUCCAUAUUUACGAGCUAGUGGCGGACGGGUGAGUAAUGCGUAGGAACCUGCCCUGAAGAGGGGGAUAACCCGGGGAAACUCGGGCUAAAACCGCAUAAUCUCUGAGGAGCAAAGCUGCCUUACCAACUUAAUGUAUUUUUUAAUUAAGAUAUAUUAAGUGGUAAGGUGGUGCUUUAGGAGGGGCCUACGUUGGAUUAGCUUGUUGGUAGGGUAAAGGCCUACCAAGGCGAUGAUCUAUAGCUGGUCUGAGAGGAUGAUCAGCCACACUGGGACUGAGACACGGCCCAGACUCCUACGGGAGGCAGCAGUGGGGAAUAUUGGACAAUGGGGGCAACCCUGAUCCAGCGAUGCCGCGUGUGUGAAGAAGGCCUGCGGGUUGUAAAGCACUUUUAAUGGUGAGGAAUAGGGCAUUAUAAAUAGUAAUGUCUAAUGACGUUAGCCAUAGAAUAAGCACCGGCAAACUCUGUGCCAGCAGCCGCGGUAAUACAGAGGGUGCGAGCGUUAAUCGGAAUGACUGGGCGUAAAGGGCACGUAGGCGGUUUAUCAAGUUAGAUGUGAAAUACCAGGGCUUAACCUUGGGGCUGCAUCUAAGACUGAUGAACUAGAGUUCACUAGAGGGGAGUGGAAUUUCCGGUGUAGCGGUGAAAUGCGUAGAUAUCGGAAGGAACACCAGUGGCGAAGGCGACUCUCUGGAGUUGAACUGACGCUGAGGAGCGAAAGCGUGGGUAGCGAACAGGAUUAGAUACCCUGGUAGUCCACGCUGUAAACGAUGAGAACUAGCUGUUGGUACGCGACGACGUAUAAGUAGCGCAGUUAACGCGAUAAGUUCUCCGCCUGGGGAUUACGGCGCAAGGCUAAAACUCAAAGGAAUUGACGGGCCCGCACAAGCGGUGGAGCAUGUGGUUUAAUUCGAUGCAACGCGAAGAACCUUACCUACUUUGACAUCUAUGGAUCCUGUAGAGAUAUUGGAGUGCCAGAAAUGGAGCCAUAAGACAGGUGCUGCAUGGCUGUCGUCAGCUCGUGUCGUGAGAUGUUGGGUUAAGUCCCGUAACGAGCGCAACCCCUAUCCUUAGUUACCAGCGCGUAAUGGCGGGGACUCUAAGGAGACUGCUGGUGAUAAGCCGGAGGAAGGUGGGGAUGACGUCAAGUCAUCAUGGCCUUUAUAAGUAGGGCUACACACGUGCUACAAUGGGCAGUACAGAGGGAGGCAAGGCCGUAAGGUGGAGCGGAACUCAGAAAGCUGUUCGUAGUCCGGAUUGGAGUCUGCAACUCGACUCCAUGAAGUUGGAAUCGCUAGUAAUCGCGAAUCAGAAUGUCGCGGUGAAUACGUUCCCGGGCCUUGUACACACCGCCCGUCACACCAUGGGAGUGGGUUGUACCAGAAGUGGUUAGACUAACCUUCGGGAAGUCGAUCACCACGGUAUGAUUCAUGACUGGGGUGAAGUCGUAACAAGGUA